AUUGAACGCUGGCGGCAUGCCUUACACAUGCAAGUCGAACGGCAGCACGGGAGCAAUCCUGGUGGCGAGUGGCGAACGGGUGAGUAAUAUAUCGGAACGUGCCCAGUCGUGGGGGAUGACGCAGCGAAAGCUGUGCUAAUACCGCAUACGAUCUAUGGAUGAAAGCGGGGGAUCGCAAGACCUCGCGCGAUUGGAGCGGCCGAUAUCAGAUUAGCUAGUUGGUGAGGUAAAGGCUCACCAAGGCGACGAUCUGUAGCUGGUCUGAGAGGACGACCAGCCACACUGGAACUGAGACACGGUCCAGACUCCUACGGGAGGCAGCAGUGGGGAAUUUUGGACAAUGGGCGAAAGCCUGAUCCAGCAAUGCCGCGUGCAGGAUGAAGGCCUUCGGGUUGUAAACUGCUUUUGUACGGAACGAAACGGUGAGCUCUAAUACAGUUUGCUAAUGACGGUACCGUAAGAAUAAGCACCGGCUAACUACGUGCCAGCCGCCGCUGUAAAAC
rnacentral:rRNA from 1 species